rnacentral:antisense_RNA from 1 species
UGUGGGAGCGAGCUUGCUCGCGAUGGCGGCCUGUCAGUCAACAUUUCUGUUGAAGCUGAUGGCCUCAUCGCGAGCGAGCUCGCUCCCACA